AAGGAGUCUUGCCCUGUGAAGCUGAUAACACUCUAGAAUAGUUCUUUCAGGUAAAUGUAAUCUUCCAUCUUAUAAUUUGUAGGUUUCAAUUCCAUCUUAAUGUUACGAGUUACUGUAGUUUCUGAUCCAUAGAUUGAUGUAUCUAUCUGCUGUUGUAGUUCAUUUGGGAUUCAAGCUGCUAACCAAGAUCUUGUACAGAAAUUCCAACAGUUAAUUACUCUUAUUAAACAAUUGGAAUUACAAAAGCUAUUUAAACUAGAUUACUAUUAAAACACCCUUGCAAGAAUUCCCACUAUUUGGC
rnacentral:lncRNA from 1 species